GUAGUCCACGCUGUAAACGAUGAGUGCCAGGUGUCGGGGGGCUUUGCCCUUCGGCGCCGCAGCUAACGCCUUAAGCACUCCGCCUGGGGAGUACGGCCGCAAGGUUAAAACUCAAAGGAAUUGACGGGGCCCGCACAAGCGGUGGAGCAUGUGGUUUAAUUCGACGCAACGCGCAGAACCUUACCAGGCCUUGACAUCCCACGCGAUCCGGAGAGAUCCGGAGUUCCCUUCGGGGGACGUGGAGACAGGUGCUGCAUGGCUGUCGUCAGCUCGUGUCGUGAGAUGUUGGGUUAAG
rnacentral:rRNA from 1 species